rnacentral:rRNA from 1 species
UACGAAGGGGGCUAGCGUUGCUCGGAAUGACUGGGCGUAAAGGGCGCGUAGGCGGCUUGUAGAGUCGGAUGUGAAAUUCCUGGGCUUAACCUCCGGCCUGCAGUGGGUACGGGCAAACUAGAGUGCGGUAGGGGAGAUUGGAAUUCCUGGUGUAGCGGUGAAAUGCGUAGAUAUCGGGAGGAACACCAGUGGCGAAGGCGACUUCCUGGCCUGUUCUUGACGCUGAGGCGCGAAAGCUAGGGGAGCAAACGGG